GCCUAGUUAGCUUAGUUGGUAGUGCGUCUGCCUUGUAAGCGCUAGGCCGUGGGUUCGAUUCCCACCCGGGGCG
rfam:Asian citrus Psyllid, Diaphorina citri - Florida Strain, whole genome shotgun sequence.